rnacentral:rRNA from 1 species
GACGAACGCUGGCGGCGUGCCUAAUACAUGCAAGUCGAACGCUUCUUUCCUCCCGANGUGCUUGCACUCAAUUGGAAAGAGGAGUGGCGGACGGGUGAGUAACACGUGGGUAACCUACCCAUCAGAGGGGGAUAACACUUGGAAACAGGUGCUAAUACCGCAUAACAGUUUAUGCCGCAUGGCAUAAGAGUGAAAGGCGCUUUCGGGUGUCGCUGAUGGAUGGACCCGCGGUGCAUUAGCUAGUUGGUGAGGUAACGGCUCACCAAGGCCACGAUGCAUAGCCGACCUGAGAGGGUGAUCGGCCACACUGGGACUGAGACACGGCCCAGACUCCUACGGGAGGCAGCAGUAGGGAAUCUUCGGCAAUGGACGAAAGUCUGACCGAGCAACGCCGCGUGAGUGAAGAAGGUUUUCGGAUCGUAAAACUCUGUUGUUAGAGAAGAACAAGGACGUUAGUAACUGAACGUCCCCUGACGGUAUCUAACCAGAAAGCCACGGCUAACUACGUGCCAGCAGCCGCGGUAAUACGUAGGUGGCAAGCGUUGUCCGGAUUAUUGGGCGUAAAGCGAGCGCAGGCGGUUUCUUAAGUCUGAUGUGAAAGCCCCCGGCUCAACCGGGGAGGGUCAUUGGAAACCUGGGACGACUUGACGUGCCCCACACAGGACACGUGGAAUUCCAUGUGUACGGUGCAAAUGCGUCAAUAUACUGGGGGAACACCAGUGGCGAAGGCGGCUCCCUGGGUCUGUAACCUGGACGCCUUCAGGCUCAGAAAGCCGUGGGGGAACCACCGGG